AAACAAUCUUGGCAUUUCAUAUUCUGUAUCAGUGCAGACAUACGUUUGUCAUGUCCAUUCCAUUAAAACGCAUUCUGGUAACAUUGUUAUAAUUCGUUUAGGGCACUGUCGUUUUCUAAUUACGAACACAGUUUUUCAACAUUCUUCGACGAUUGCCAAAAUGACUCCUUAUAAUAUGACUCAAAACAUUCCGAUUGUGUGUUUGACCAUUUCUGGUUAUGAUGUAUGAAUUUCAACAUGUUCAUACUCUAACUCAUCAUCAUCGUUUCUGUGACUGUGUUAUUCUUCUUUAUAUACACUCAAUCCAAUAAAUGUUUUGUACUCUUGGUUCUUUC
rnacentral:lncRNA from 1 species